UACAGAGGGUGCAAGCGUUAAUCGGAAUUACUGGGCGUAAAGCGCGCGUAGGUGGUUCGUUACGUUGGAUGUGAAAUCCCCGGGCUCAACCUGGGAACUGCAUUCAAAACUGACGAGCUAGAGUAUGGUAGAGGGUGGUGGAUUUUCCUGUGUAGCGGUGAAAUGCGUAGAUAUAGGAAGGAACACCAGUGGCGAAGGCGACCACCUGGACUGAUACUGACACUGAGGUGCGAAAGCGUGGGGAGCAAACAGG
rnacentral:rRNA from 1 species